AUUGAACGCUGGCGGCAGGCCUAACACAUGCAAGUCGAACGAGUGGCGGACGGGUGAGUAAUGUCUGGGAAACUGCCUGAUGGAGGGGGAUAACUACUGGAAACGUUAGCUACUACCGCAUACCAUCAGAUGUGCCCAGAUUGGAUGAGCUUGUUGGUGGGGGAACGGCUCACCAAGGCGACGAUCCCUAGCUGGUCUGAGAGGAUGAACAUCCAAACUGGAACUGAGACACGGUCCAGACUCCUACGGGAGGCAGCAGUGGGGAAUAUUGCACAAUGGGCGCAAGCCUGAGGCAGCCAUGCCGAGUGUAGGAAGAAGGCCUUCGGGUUGUAAAGUACUUUCAGCGGGGAGGCGGUACCCGCAGAAGAAGCACCGGCUAACUCCGUGCCAGCAGCCGCGGUAAUAC
rnacentral:rRNA from 1 species